rnacentral:rRNA from 1 species
GUAGGGUGCGAGCGUUAAUCGGAAUUACUGGGCGUAAAGCGUGCGCAGGCGGUUAUAUAAGACAGUUGCGAAAUCCCCGGGCUUAACCUGGGAAUGGCGCUUGUGACUGCACGACUGGAGUGCGGCAGAGGGGGAUGGAAUUCCGCGUGUAGCAGUGAAAUGCGUAGAUAUGCGGAGGAACACCGAUGGCGAAGGCAGUCCCCUGGGCCUGCACUGACGCUCAUGCACGAAAGCGUGGGGAGCAAACAGGAUUAGAUACCCUGGUAGUCAAGGGCG